GAACAACUACCGUGAGGGAAAGGUGAAAAGCACCCUGAAUAAGGGAGUGAAAAAGAACCUGAAACCGUGCGCCUACAAGCGGUCGGAGCCUUUAGAGGUGACGGCGUGCCUUUUGCAUAAUGAGCCUACGAGUUACUGUUACUAGCAAGGUUAAGAUUUUAAGGAUCGGAUCCGAAGCGAAAGCGAGUCUGAAUAGGGCGACGUAGUUAGUAGUAGUAGACGCGAAACCCGGUGAUCUACCCAUGAGCAGGUUGAAGUUCCAGUAACAUGGAAUGGAGGACCGAACCCGUUGACGUUGAAAAGUCUUGGGAUGACUUGUGGGUAGGGGUGAAAGGCCAAUCAAACUCGGAAAUAGCUCGUACUCCCCGAAAUGCAUUUAGGUGCAGCGUCGUGGUGAGUUUGAUAGAGGUAGAGCUACUGAUAGGGCUAGGGGGCUUCACCGCCUACCAACCCCUGACAAACUCCGAAUGCUAUCAAAUAUACACGGCAGUGAGGGCAUGGGUGCUAAGGUCCAUGUCCGAGAGGGAAACAACCCAGACCAUCAGCUAAGGUCCCCAAAUAUAUGUUAAGUUGAAUAAACGAGGUUGAACUGCUUUGACAGCUAGGAUGUUGGCUUGGAAGCAGCCAUUCAUUUAAAGAGUGCGUAACAGCUCACUAGUCGAGC
rnacentral:rRNA from 1 species